GACGAACGCUGGCGGCGUGCUUAACACAUGCAAGUCGAACGGAAAGGCCCUGCUUUUGUGGGGUGCUCGAGUGGCGAACGGGUGAGUAACACGUGAGUAACCUGCCCUUGACUUUGGGAUAACUUCAGGAAACUGGGGCUAAUACCGGAUAGGAGCUCCUGCUGCAUGGUGGGGGUUGGAAAGUUUCGGCGGUUGGGGAUGGACUCGCGGCUUAUCAGCUUGUUGGUGGGGUAGUGGCUUACCAAGGCUUUGACGGGUAGCCGGCCUGAGAGGGUGACCGGCCACAUUGGGACUGAGAUACGGCCCAGACUCCUACGGGAGGCAGCAGUGGGGAAUAUAGCACAAGGGGCGGAAGCCUGAUGCAGCAACGCCGCGUGCGGGAUGACGGCCUUCGGGUGGUAAACCGCUUUCGCCUGUGACGAAGCGUGAGUGACGGUAAUGGGUAAAGAAGCACCGGCUAACUACGU
rnacentral:rRNA from 1 species